AGCAUAAAGAUGAUCAGGAGUCAUGUCAACUGCUGCACAAGUUGCCUCAAAGAAUAUGAUUGAGUUUUGAUCUUGAAGAUUCUCAUCCGGAUUGACCAUAGGAGGAUCCAUCAUUCCUUUGGAUCCUCCUCAUCAACAUGUUACUGAAGCUAAGGUACAGAUGAUAUAACUCUGCUGGUGGCUUUGGAUGAACAUGGCAAAGCUGAAGGUUUUCUCUAUGAAGAUGAUGGUGCUGGAUAUGAAUACCUUGAAGGAGGAUACCUGUUGACAACUUAUGUUGCUGAACUUCAGCAUUCCGAGGUCAUUUUAAGAGUUUCGAAAACUGAAGGAUCUUGGAUAGACCAAAGCGCCGCUUCAUAUGAAAUUUCUGAUUUGCAUUGGCGCUGUGCUUGAUGCAUGGGGUACUGACGGGGAGAUGCUGCAAAUCAAAUUCCCAUAUAUAGAAGAAAAUGCAGAAAGUGAUGGAAGUGCAAAGAGUACAGAAUGUGCGGAGUGAGAUGAAAGUGCAGAAAGCGAUGGACGCGAAUGUGCACUGAAGUGACCACUGCAAGCGUGUUCAUUUGUUACCUUCCAUAUAUAGUUCUGUUUAAUAAGGUUUAUAUAUGGCUUGUAAUAGGGGUAUAAAAUCCCACCGAGUUUACUUGAAUAAGAAAUAAUAAGAAUUGUGGACCAGACUCUCCCAUUCUUCAUUUUUAAGUCUUCAUUUCAUUUGUGUUGUUGAGCUGAUAUCAUUAGCGUGCUGGUUGCAUUUUACGUCUCCAUUUUGCUGUGAAUUUACAAAUGAUUUAUGAACUCAGUCAAAUCAAUAAUACAUAACUAUAUUACUCAUUUUUUAUCUACAUAUUUUGUGGAAUCCACUGUUAUUCUUUUUACUAUUCCUCUUUAUAAAGAUUUAUAAAUUAUCAAACGGAGGCUUUAGACUUUGAAGGAUAAUAUUUUUUGCUUGUACUAUUACCAUAUUUCAAUAUUAUGAAAAAAUGUAGAGGGCCCACUUGGGUAAUAUGUACUCCAUUGUAGCAUUUAAUCUUUUUAUGUGCCUGUCUAUGCACUCAACUCACUCAUGCACACGUUUGCAUGUGUGUGAUGGAAAGUGAUGCAGCACAAACAAGAACAAACAAGGAACAUGAAUCAAUAUUUCGUUGAUUCACGAAGAAUGCUCAGGACUAACAA